UACGGAGGGUGCAAGCGUUAAUCGGAAUUACUGGGCGUAAAGCGUGCGCAGGCGGUUUGUUAAGUCUGUUGUGAAAUCCCCGAGCUCAACUUGGGAAUUGCAAUGGAUACUGGCAGGCUGGAGUAUGGUAGAGGAAGGUGGAAUUCCCGGUGUAGCAGUGAAGUGCGUAGAGAUCGGGAGGAACACCAGUGGCGAAGGCGGCCUUCUGGACCAAUACUGACGCUCAUGCACGAAAGCGUGGGGAGCAAACAGG
rnacentral:rRNA from 1 species